rnacentral:tRNA from 1 species
CGGAAGUGGCUCAGUUGGUAGAGCAUAACCUUGCCAAGGUUGGGGUCGCGGGUUCGAGUCCCGUCUUCCG